UACGGGGGGAGCAAGCGUUGUUCGGAUUUACUGGGCGUAAAGGGCGCGUAGGCGGCGCAACAAGUCACUUGUGAAAUCUCCGGGCUUAACCCGGAGCGGCCAAGUGAUACUGUCGUGCUAGAGUGCGGAAGGGGCUACUGGAAUUCUCGGUGUAGCAGUGAAAUGCGUAGAUAUCGAGAGGAACACCAGUGGCGAAGGCGAGUCCCUGGACAACACCUGACACUGAGGCACGAAAGCUAGGGGAGCAAACAGG
rnacentral:rRNA from 1 species